UACGUAGGGUGCAAGCGUUGUCCGGAAUUAUUGGGCGUAAAGAGCUCGUAGGUGGUUUGUCGCGUUGUUCGUGAAAUCUCACGGCUUAACUGUGAGCGUGCGGGCGAUACGGGCAGACUGGAGUACUGCAGGGGAGACUGGAAUUCCUGGUGUAGCGGUGGAAUGCGCAGAUAUCAGGAGGAACACCGGUGGCGAAGGCGGGUCUCUGGGCAGUAACUGACGCUGGAGGAGCGAAAAGCGUGGGGGAGCGAACAGG
rnacentral:rRNA from 1 species